AACGAACGCUGGCGGCAUGCCUAACACAUGCAAGUCGAACGAGACCUUCGGGUCUAGUGGCGCACGGGUGCGUAACGCGUGGGAACCUGCCCUUAGGUUCGGAAUAACUCCCCGAAAGGGGUGCUAAUACCGGAUAAUGUCUUCGGACCAAAGAUUUAUCGCCUUUGGAUGGGCCCGCGUUGGAUUAGCUAGUUGGUAGGGUAAAAGCCUACCAAGGCGACGAUCCAUAGCUGGUCUGAGAGGAUGAUCAGCCACACUGGGACUGAGACACGGCCCAGACUCCUACUGGAGGCAGCAGUGGGGAAUAUUGGACAAUGGGCGAAAGCCUGAUCCAGCAAUGCCGCGUGAGUGAUGAAGGCCUUAGGGUUGUAAAGCUCUUUUACCCGGGAUGAUAAUGACAGUUCCGGGAGAAUAAGCUCCGGCUAACUCCGUG
rnacentral:rRNA from 1 species